CUUGUGAUUAUUGUACAUGUUCCUAUAUGCUUAUGUAGAAUACAUGCAGGAUUCCUGUGCUUCUACAUAGACAAUAAGUAGAGAUCCCAGCAUUUCGAAGUUACUUCUCUGCUUGCAUGAUUCCGUGGGCUCAAACAUGCUGCUUCCAAGUCUACAACUGCCAGUUUGACACCCACAUGGGCUUCGAAGUUUUUCAUCAGAACAAUUUGAAAUUUAGAACUACAAAGCAAAGAUGUCGAACAAUGAAACUCCAACUGUCAGUGUAAGGCUGUAAAUGAUGAUGGUGUUCGUCCACACUUACCUAUACCAAGGUGUAGCCCAUCCUUCUCCAGGAAGCCUUUCUGCCCCACUGUAAGUGUCACUAAUCUUUAUUCUUCUAAUCUGAUUGUAGAAAAAAAUCUGGACUC
rnacentral:lncRNA from 1 species